AAACGACUGCUAAUACCGCAUAAGCCCACGGAUCCGCAUGGAUCUGCGGGAAAAGGAUUUAUUUGCUUCAGGAUGGACUCGCGUCCAAUUAGCUAGUUGGUGAGGUAACGGCCCACCAAGGCGACGAUUGGUAGCCGGACUGAGAGGUUGAACGGCCACAUUGGGACUGAGACACGGCCCAGACUCCUACGGGAGGCAGCAUG
rnacentral:rRNA from 1 species